rnacentral:rRNA from 1 species
GAUGAACGCUAGCGGGAGGCCUAACACAUGCAAGCCGAGCGGUAUUGUUUCUUCGGAAAUGAGAGAGCGGCGUACGGGUGCGUAACACGUGUGCAACCCGCCUUUAUCUGGGGGAUAGCCUUUCGAAAGGAAGAUUAAUACUCCAUAAUAUAUUGAACGGCAUCGUUUAAUAUUGAAAGCUCCGGCGGAUAGAGAUGGGCACGCGCAAGAUUAGCUAGUUGGUGAGGUAACGGCUCACCAAGGCGAUGAUCUUUAGGGGGCCUGAGAGGGUGAUCCCCCACACUGGUACUGAGACACGGACCAGACUCCUACGGGAGGCAGCAGUGGGGAAUAUUGGUCAAUGGGUGCAAGCCUGAACCAGCCAUCCCGCGUGAAGGACGACUGCCCUAUGGGUUGUAAACUUCUUUUGUAUAGGGAUAAACCUACCCUCGAGAGGGUAGCUGAAGGUACUAUACGAAUAAGCACCGGCUAACUCCGUGCCAGCCGCCGCAGUAACAC